GGGGCUGACCGGUUUUGACAGCAUAGUUCUUUGUAAGUGUAAGCAUGUAGUGCGUUGGAUAAUUAGCACUUUAAUCUGAAUAUUCAACAACUUAAAUGGCAAUACUCAGUAUGCCAUGGCUGCUUAAUCGAUAGAUUAGCAUCCAUUAGGGCCGCCGAACAGGUUGACCGGUUACCAUGUUCCGCCGCCGACUCAAAAACAAAACAGGUUGCUGUAAUGGAAUGAAGUGACCAUUGCUUAAGAUCAUUCUUCUACGGAUAUAGUUGGUUGGUUAGGUUCCUGCUUUAUCCCGACAAUUAAUAACUAAAUAAACAUGUAGAAAGCUUACGGCGGAUAUGUUUGGACCAGGGUUCGAUUCCCUGCAGCUCCACUU
rnacentral:tmRNA from 1 species